rnacentral:rRNA from 1 species
UACGGAGGGUGCAAGCGUUAAUCGGAAUUACUGGGCGUAAAGCGCACGCAGGCGGUCUGUCAAGUCAGAUGCGAAAUCCCCGCGCUUAACGUGGGAACUGCACUUGAAACUGGCAAGCUAGAGUCUUGUAGAGGGGGGUAGAAUUCCAGGUGUAGCGGUGAAAUGCGUAGAGAUCUGGAGGAAUACCGGUGGCGAAGGCGGCCCCCUGGACAAAGACUGACGCUCAGGUGCGAAAGCGUGGGGAGCAAACAGG